GGGUUGUGAGGUUAAGCGACUAAGCGUACACGGUGGAUGCCCUGGCAGUCAGAGGCGAUGAAGGACGUGCUAAUCUGCGAUAAGCGCCGGUAAGGUGAUAUGAACCGUUAUAACCGGCGAUUUCCGAAUGGGGAAACCCAGUGUGAUUCGUCACACUAUCAUUAACUGAAUCCAUAGGUUAAUGAGGCGAACCGGGGGAACUGAAACAUCUAAGUACCCCGAGGAAAAGAAAUCAACCGAGAUUCCCCCAGUAGCGGCGAGCGAACGGGGAGGAGCCCAGAGCCUGAAUCAGCAUGUGUGUUAGUGGAAGCGUCUGGAAAGGCGCGCGAUACAGGGUGACAGCCCCGUACACAAAAGCGCAUGUGCUGUGAGCUCGAUGAGUAGGGCGGGACACGUGGUAUCCUGUCUGAAUAUGGGGGGACCAUCCUCCAAGGCUAAAUACUCCUGACUGACCGAUAGUGAACCAGUACCGUGAGGGAAAGGCGAAAAGAACCCCGGCGAGGGGAGUGAAAAAGAACCUGAAACCGUGUACGUACAAGCAGUGGGAGCACAGGUUUACCUG
rnacentral:rRNA from 5 species